rnacentral:rRNA from 1 species
AACGAACGCUGGCGGCAGGCUUAACACAUGCAAGUCGAGCGCCCCGCAAGGGGAGCGGCAGACGGGUGAGUAACACGUGGGAACAUACCCAUCUCUGCGGAACAACUCCGGGAAACUGGAGCUAAUACCGCAUACGCCCUUCGGGGGAAAGAUUUAUCGGAGAUGGAUUGGCCCGCGUUGGAUUAGCUAGUUGGUGGGGUAAAGGCCUACCAAGGCGACGAUCCAUAGCUGGUCUGAGAGGAUGAUCAGCCACAUUGGGACUGAGACACGGCCCAAACUCCUACGGGAGGCAGCAGUGGGGAAUAUUGGACAAUGGGCGCAAGCCUGAUCCAGCCAUGCCGCGUGAGUGAUGAAGGCCUUAGGGUUGUAAAGCUCUUUCACCGAUGAAGAUAAUGACGGUAGUCGGAGAAGAAGCACCGGCUAACUCUGUGCCAGCAGCCGCGGUAA